GCGUUGGCGGUACAACCGGUAGACACACAAGACUUAAAAUCUUGCGCUCGUAAGAGCGUACCAGUUCAAGUCUGGUUGGGAGCA
rnacentral:tRNA from 1 species